UGGGAGGGCAGGGAUUGCUCCCGGCCUCUUCCAGAGCGCGGCCCCGGCCUCGCGGGGCCUGGACGGCGCAGGCGAGGCUGCGGAGGCGAAGGGUCGGCGGAACCAGCUCCGCCCCGGCGACCCGGCCGGCAGCGGAGCCCGGCGUCGAUUCCUCCCCGCGGCUGAGGCGCUCGUGGGCUCAAGGCCGCAGGGCCUCCAGGGGCGGCCAAAGGAAAGGGUGGCCGGACCCAAGUCUAGUGGAAAUCAGCAGCCAUGUCAUGAGGACACUUAGGCAGCCUGUACUGAGGCUUUCCACCAACAGAUAUGUGAGUCAUCUUGGAAGCCAGUCCUCCAGUCCUGCUCAAGGCUUUGGCUGACAGCAACCCAUGCCAACAUCCUGACUGCAACUUCAGGAAACCCUGAGCUAUGCCUGCCCAGCUAAGCCACUCCUCGUUUCCUGACUCUGAGAAACUCUUCAUCCCUACAUACCUUACAUGCUCCCUCAGAAACAUAGAUUUACAAACGCAGGAGACACGGGUUCGAGCCCUGGUCUGGGAGGAUCCCACAUGCCGCGGAGCAACUGGGCC